UACGAAGGGGGCUAGCGUUGCUCGGAAUUACUGGGCGUAAAGGGCGCGUAGGCGGACAGUUUAGUCAGAGGUGAAAGCCCAGGGCUCAACCUUGGAAUAGCCUUUGAUACUGGCUGUCUUGAGUGCGGGAGAGGUGUGUGGAACUCCGAGUGUAGAGGUGAAAUUCGUAGAUAUUCGGAAGAACACCAGUGGCGAAGGCGACACACUGGCCCGUUACUGACGCUGAGGCGCGAAAGCGUGGGGAGCAAACAGG
rnacentral:rRNA from 1 species